AUUGAACGCUAGCGGGAUGCUUUACACAUGCAAGUCGAACGAGUGGCGGACGGGUGAGUAAUGUAUGGGGACUGCCCGAUAGAGGGGGAUAACUACUGGAAACGGUAGCUAAUACCGCAUACUAUCGGAUAACCCAUAUGGGAUUAGCUAGUAGGUGAGGUAAUGGCUCACCUAGGCGACGAUCCCUAGCUGGUCUGAGAGGAUGAUCAGCCACACUGGGACUGAGACACGGCCCAGACUCCUACGGAGGCAGCAGUGGGGAAUAUUGCACAAUGGGCGCAAGCCUGAUGCAGCCAUGCCGCGUGUAUGAAGAAGGCCCUAGGGUUGUAAAGUACUUUCAGCGAGGAGGCGUUACUCGCAGAAGAAGCACCGGCUAACUCCGUGCCAGCAGCCGCGGUAAUUC
rnacentral:rRNA from 1 species